UACGUAGGGUGCAAGCGUUAUCCGGAAUUAUUGGGCGUAAAGAGCUCGUAGGCGGUUUGUCGCGUCUGCUGUGAAAACUGGGGGCUCAACCCCCAGCCUGCAGUGGGUACGGGCAGACUAGAGUGCGGUAGGGGAGAUUGGAAUUCCUGGUGUAGCGGUGGAAUGCGCAGAUAUCAGGAGGAACACCGAUGGCGAAGGCAGAUCUCUGGGCCGUAACUGACGCUGAGGAGCGAAAGCAUGGGGAGUGAACAGG
rnacentral:rRNA from 1 species